CAUUUGACAUUGACCCUUUAGCCAUGACCUUGUCUUGUGGGGACCUGGAAACUGCCUCUUUUCGGGAUGGUAGCUACACUCUGUUGGCCCGAUGCCGCUCUCAUUGACUUCAGUGGCAGGUCCCACCCCACAUUUACUUGAAUGAGAAAAAGGACCGGGCCCGGUGACCCUUCUAUGCACAGCCCACUUUGGCUCAUGUCCAUAGCAGUCGUCAAGUCACUUGACGGCUGCUAUGGACAUGAGCCUCUGUCCUUAACUAGUGUCCUGAUAUUACAGCAAGAGAGUGUGGCAGGAACGUUGCCUGAUGCUACUUCAGCGGAAGGCAGGAGACUCCAGCGUGGGGAGCCUGGCCACAGACACAUUUCCACAGCCCUGGGGUCCUACCCCUUGGCCCUGCAGCAGUGUCAAGGGAAAUCUCCUCUUUAGGCCUCACCAGCGGCCCUCUUGCAAAGCAAUCAGGGGGUGGUGCGGGUUGUUCUUAUGGGGCAUGAUUUUAACCUUGGAUCCCGCAGGAGAAACAAGAGGCUGAGUGUGCAAACUGCCGCUCAACGAUCAGCCCCGGGCUGCUGCUGCUGGGGCUGGGGCCUGCGCGGUGCGCAAAGGCGAAGGGGAGGGUGUGCGCCGACGCAGGCCUUCCUGCUCGCCUGGCGGCGGCACAGCAACUCCGCCGGGCCUCCUUAAAUCUCUGCCGUUACAAUGUGGGCGGGUAUUUCAACUCAAAAAGCGCUCAAAUUUUUUUUCUUUUCAAAAAAAGCUGAUGAGGUUAAAACAGGAGAAGGGGAAGGCGAGAGACAGAAACCGGCCGGGUGUCCGGGCGACAGAAGCCGCGAUUGUCCCGGCAGCGGGUUUGGCGGAUCCCGGCGAGGAGGAAAGUCGCUGCUGUCAUUGAGGCGGCGGCUGCUUUGCAGGGCUGGGACCGGGGACGGGGGCACAGCCGGUUCGCGGCUGCUGCUCGGCGCAGGGGAGCCGGACCUGCGCUUCCCAGCUCCGGGGGACAUCGCAGCCCAAGCAGCGCCCCGGAGAGCCGCUGCCUCCUCCCGCUCGCUGCGGAAAGCGAAAGAGGAACCCCCCGAUCCAAAGAGCCGGCGGAGCCCUGCGGCGCGGCGAGCCCUAGGCGGGAAGGGCUCGCCCCGCGGCUUGCAGCUGUAAUGCCGCCGUGUACCUCGGAGAUCGCCCCGGCCGGCUAGAUGGAGCAGCCGCCGCUGCUGGGCUUCUCCUCCUUUCCGUGAGCCCUGGCACCGGCAUGCAGCCGCCCGCGGACAGCCACAGGACCCGGUGCCCUUCUGAAUGCACCGAGCCACCAUUGCUGGGGGCGGCCGAACCUCCGCCUAGGGCGGCAGCCGCUGGGGGCCACGAACGCCUUCUCCUCCCAGGCUCUGCGAGGAAGAUUUGUCCUGCCGCUGACACCGAGACACGUCCGGGUGAAGGCAGCUAGCGUGUGAGCUGUGCGGCGGAUCGGCCUCCCGCUGUCUCCCCUUGGCUUUUUUUUCUUUUUUGCAUACUUGGCUUGGAAUAAACGCAGCUGCCUGCGAGGAAGGGGGGGGGACCCCAACCGAUAAUGGCUGCGUACGGCUUCAGAAGAUUUCUCUGCGAAGUUGUUCCCGCUGAGCCUCAAAUCUCGACUUGAAUAAGGUUUUAGGGUGCGCAAGGAAUCGAGGAUGGGCUCCCCAAAAGAAUAACAGCUACGCCUAGGAUUUACCAAACAAUAAGAAAAAAAGGGGGAAAAAGAGGACGAUGCCCUCACUUAUUUUCCAGAGGUAUAGCCGUACCUCUUACAAUUUCUAUCCAGAAUUGAAAGGGAUGGCAGGUAAUGAAACUUGGGAAUCCUGAAAUUGCCAGGCAGUUGUUAAUGACAGGUGCUAAUCCUGAUCUGAAAGACAGUACAGGGUUCGCUGUAAUUCAUGAUGUAGCCAGAGCGGGUUUCCUGGACACGCU